rnacentral:miRNA from 1 species
GCAGAAGAUCCUCGGCAGUUAACU